UACGUAGGGUCCGAGCGUUGUCCGGAAUUAUUGGGCGUAAAGGGCUCGUAGGCGGUUUGUCGCGUCUGCUGUGAAAACCCGAGGCUCAACCUCGGGCCUGCAGUGGGUACGGGCAGACUAGAGUGCGGUAGGGGAGAUUGGAAUUCCUGGUGUAGCGGUGGAAUGCGCAGAUAUCAGGAGGAACACCUAUUGCGAAGGCAGCUCGCUGGGACGUUACUGACGCUGAGACGCGAAAGCGUGGGGAGCAAACAGG
rnacentral:rRNA from 1 species